GAUCAACCAUGAUGAACAAACACACAGCCGAUACAAAAAGAAUCGCCUAAAGAGAGAACAUAAUCGUCCAAAUCGGCCGAUAUAUUAUUCGGUACGGAUGAUGGGUUACACGGCCGACGCGGUACAAGUCGCCCUUAAAACAAAAAAUAAUUAACCACGCCUCUUCUUAAGCUCUCUCUCAACCCGACCUAGUUCUAUCAGAAGACGGAUGUGCCGUUCUUCUAUCUCUUUC
rnacentral:lncRNA from 1 species